GUCCACGCCGUAAACGAUGGGUACUAGGUGUUCGGGUAUUGACCCCUGAGUGCCGCAGCUAACGCAUUAAGUACCCCGCCUGGGGACUACGGCCGCAAGGCUAAAACUCAAAGGAAUUGACGGGGCCCGCACAAGCGGUGGAGCAUGUGGUUUAAUUCGACGCAACGCGAAGAACCUUACCUGGGCUAGACAACAUCGGACCGCCCCAGAAAUGGGGUUUUCCCGCAAGGGACUGGUGGUUCAGGUGCUGCAUGGCUGUCGU
rnacentral:rRNA from 1 species